rnacentral:rRNA from 1 species
GACGAGGGGUCCUAGCGUUGUUCGGAAUCAUUGGGCGUAAAGCGUGUGUAGGUGGCUUUUCAAGUCAGGUGUGAAAGCCCCGGGCUCAACCCGGGAAGUGCAUCUGAUACUGCUAAGCUUGAGUACCGAAGAGGGUAGUGGAAUUCCAGGUGUAGUGGUGAAAUACGUAGAUAUCUGGAGGAACACCGGUGGCGAAGGCGGCUACCUGGUCGAGUACUGACACUGAGACACGAAAGCGUGGGGAUCAAACAGG